GUGCUUGCUUCAGUAGUACAUAUACUAAAAUUGGAAGGAUACAGAGAGGAUUAGCAUGGUCCCUGCACAAGGAUGACAUACAAAGUCAUGAAGCAUUCCAUACUUUU